rnacentral:rRNA from 1 species
GACGAACGCUGGCGGCGUGCUUAACACAUGCAAGUCGAACGGAAAGGCCCUGCUUUUGUGGGGUGCUCGAGUGGCGAACGGGUGAGUAACACGUGAGUAACCUGCCCUUGACUUUGGGAUAACUUCAGGAAACUGGGGCUAAUACCGGAUAGGAGCUCCUGCUGCAUGGUGGGGGUUGGAAAGUUUCGGCGGUUGGGGAUGGACUCGCGGCUUAUCAGCUUGUUGGGGGGGUAGUGGCUUACCAAGGCUUUGACGGGUAGCCGGCCUGAGAGGGUGACCGGCCACAUUGGGACUGAGAUACGGCCCAGACUCCUACGGGAGGCAGCAGGGGGGAAUAUUGCACAAUGGGCGGAAGCCUGAUGCAGCAACGCCGCGUGCGGGAUGACGGCCUUCGGGUUGUAAACCGCUUUCGCCUGUGACGAAGCGUGAGUGACGGUAAUGGGUAAAGAAGCACCGGCUAACUACGUG